CCUACGGGUGGCAGCAGUGGGGAAUAUUGCACAAUGGGGGAAACCCUGAUGCAGCGACGCCGCGUGAGCGAUGAAGUAUUUCGGUAUGUAAAGCUCUAUCAGCAGGGAAGCAAAUGACGGUACCUGACUCAGAAUCCCCGUCUAACUACGUGCCACCAGCCGCGGUAAUGCGUAGGGGGCCAGCGUUAUCCGGAUGUACUGGGUGUAAACGGAGCGUAGUCGGCUGUGCAAGCCCGAUGUGAAAGCCCGGGGCGCAACCCCGGGACUGCAUUUGGAACUGUGUGGCUGGAGUGGCGGAGAGGCAGGCGGAAUUCUUAGGGUAGCGGUGAAAUGCGUAGAUAUUAGGAGGAACACCAGUGGCGAAGGCGGCAUGCUGGACGAUGACUGACGUUGAGGCACGAAAGCGUGGGGAGCAAACAGGAGUAGAUACCCGAGUAGUC
rnacentral:rRNA from 1 species